UACGUAGGAGGCAAGCGUUGUCCGGAAUUACUGGGCGUAAAGCGCGUGUAGGUGGUGGGACAAGUCUGCUGUGAAAGCGCCUGGCUUAACCGGGCGAGGUCGGCGGAAACUGUUCGACUCGAGGACGAUAGAGGGGGGUGGAAUUCCCGGUGUAGUGGUGAAAUGCGUAGAGAUCGGGAGGAACACCUGUGGCGAAGGCGGCCCCCUGGGCCGGCCCUGACACUGAGACGCGAAGGCGUGGGGAGCGAACGGG
rnacentral:rRNA from 1 species